rnacentral:RNase_P_RNA from 15 species
ACAGCGACGACUCCUACGACUUAGAGACCUGUUUACACAAGGAGGGUACCCUCCCUCAACCAACAGGUGGGAAAUUCGGUGAAACACAGUGGAAUCAUUCCUUCCAGCCUGGGCUCGCUUCCUUCGGGAAGCUAGGCUCAGGUCUUUCCGUGAGGACAGCCUAGCCGGGGACCGGUCUGCCUGGACGUUGUUAUCAGAAAUUCACACGGGUAACCGUGAUGGGAAAGCAACGAGUGUUUUAUUUGACGGGCUUCUGUUUACACAGUGGUCCAGUCUGUUGAGUGCAAUCGUAGGACAUGCCCUAGGGCUUGAACCCGAUACCGAUUACCGUCCUUGU